CCAAAACCAGUGUUUUAGUAAUUCCUUCCUCUCUCUGAAAUAGGGAGGAAAUUCCUUGUGGGUUGCUCUCAAGGGAAGGAAAGGCAGAGCCAAACAGUGAAUACUGGAUACACUGGGCACUGAGAAUUUCUCUUUUACUCACACGUUACCGGACCAUGAAGAGGCCUACCCGGACCUGAAGGAGACGGCUCUGCACUACUCGAACAGCCCGGACUAACAAUUUCCAGGACAGACAGUCUGUCCUAGACUAAGCCAAUCUGCAUAUUCCAUCCUUUAUGCCACAAGGGAAAGUGCACGGGUGAACUGGUCUGAGAAUCCUGGGACUUCUGCUGAGCCUGCAGACAGUCACUCUUUCAGACUGAACAUGAAUAAGGAAACAACCCCAGAAGCUGCAGGCAGCCAUGCUGGGACCAGAAGGGCAACCAGAAGCCAGAUGCCCAGAGACAUCAAUGAACCACGCCAACACCCUCAAUCUGAAGCCUGAAUUA